UAUUAAUGUACUUAAAAAUCGAACUAUAUAUCGAUUAAUCGAUCUGUAUUUUUCAAGUUGGUAAUAAUUGUACAUAGUGUCCGUAUUUUUUUUCAAUCAAUUGGAAAUAUAUUCUUAUUAAUCGGAGAAAAAAUAAAUUGAGAUCAUGCUGUCAGUUUAAAAAUAUGAAGAAAAUAUGCAAGAAAAUUCGUUUGCAGAGAUCGAGUUUUGGAAUCGCGCGAAGCAGUUGCUGUAACGAUGAUGGUCGAGCAGAAAUGGGCAUCCUUAAGGGCAUCGUCUGCGAGGAGGACAAAGAGGCGAGAGAAAAUAACGCAAUUACGUUCUUUUCCGAUUCGAGAGCGCGUCGUUACGAUGCGCUAAUCACAAGUCGACGUGUUUUAGAACGCCAUCUACGCUUCGACUCACGAGAGUCUCGUUCACUCUCUUCCCUUUGUCCGCGUGCAUAUUCGAUCGAGCUCGUGUUUACGCUGUGCCGUGACACUGCACCGAAUCUCGUUGCCGCGGCAAAUCGAUAUUAAAUCAAAAUUGGUACAAUCGAAUCUCGGUCACGAUCAAGCGAUUUCGAGACGGUCAUUUCGGAUUAAGCGUUUUCGAUCGAAAUAAUCAAGUAACUCGUCUAGGAGAGGAGACAUCUCUCCUUAUUUAACCUCAAAUGUUCGAGCAAGUAAAUUUAAAGGCUCGUUCAACGAAUGUGUAAUUAUCGUGCAACGAUUGUAAAAAAUCUACAGAUUCGUAUUCGUUCUCUUGAAAUUAGAAGUUGAUUAAUUUCACUUCUCGAUAAUAUUUCGAGUGAUUAUAGUCGUAGAGGGUAAUAUAGUCAUCGCGUGUUUAAGUAUAGAAUAAUAAACACGCGGUUUAUGCGAGGGGGAAUCACGAACGUUACAAUGGAUGCUGUGACGCUUGCUUCAUUGUGAUGCAUAUGAGCAGUCGCACAAGUCAUUACGUACAUUAGAUUUUACGUUCGCGAAAUAACGAGAAUAAAGAGCGAGCGAUGCGGAUAUGCUUUUUUUUUACGAUAACUAUAACGUUUCGUUCUUAUAAAUAGCAAGCCAUAAGUGUUAUAUAUGUACAUUGAAACAGGUGGUAAUUAAUUUUUUGAUUAUUCUAUGUAUAUAUUUAAAAUAAUUGUUGAACGAAUAAUUUUUUUCAGGAACCUUUUUUCCUUUUUCUUAAAUCUCUCGUUAGAUAUUUUUCUGUUCUCUGUUUCAAUUUAACGCUUAAAGAAAUAUACGUGGAAAAUCUGUGUAUGCAUAUCUUUACUUGUAUCGAAUAAAGAGAAGGAAUAUUUGGUAA